GGACAGAUGGCCGAGCUGGUUAUGGCGCCAGGUUAAGGUUCUUAACAUUUCUGCGAAGUGUUAACACUUCAGUUUCCUGGUCCAGAAAUGGGCGUGGGUUCGAGUCCCACUCUGUUCA
rnacentral:tRNA from 1 species